AGUCUGGCCUGCCCGCUGACGAGAGUUGAAGGGCUGCGGUAUUCCUGACCGUGCAAAGGUAGCAUAAUCAUUAGUCUUUUAAAAGGGGGCUGGUAUGAAUGGUCGGACAAGGGUGCGACUGUCUCCUGAGCAAAAAUUGAAUUUAACCUCUAUGUGAAAAGGCUUAGAUGAUAUGAAGGGACGAUAAGACCCUAUAAAGCUUUAUAGUAAAGGCAGCCAUGGGUUUAUUGUUAAUAAGUGAUUGGUGGUUGUUGGUCCUAUUUUGUUGGGGUGACAGCAAUAUAACGAGUAACUGUUGUAUAAUAUAAAAUAAGAAUAAUUAUAGUUAGUAAGGAUCCUGUAUUACGGAUUAAUAGAUUAAGUUACUUUAGGGAUAACAGCGUGAUUUUCCUUGAGAGUUCAUAUCGACAGGAGUAGUUGCGACCUCGAUGUUGAAUUAAGGUAGACUUUAUGGCGGAGAAGCUGUAUAGAGUAGGUCUGUUCGACCUUUGAAACCUUACAUGAUUUGAGUUCAGACCGGUUUAAGCCAGGUU
rnacentral:rRNA from 1 species